rnacentral:rRNA from 1 species
AGUGAACGCUGGCGAUAGGCCUAACACAUGCAAGUCGAACGGCAGCACAGGAGAGCUUGCUCUCUGGGUGGCGAGUGGCGGACGGGUGAGGAAUACAUCGGAAUCUACUUUUUCGUGGGGGAUAACGUAGGGAAACUUACGCUAAUACCGCAUACGACCUACGGGUGAAAGCAGGGGAUCUUCGGACCUUGCGCGAUUGAAUGAGCCGAUGUCGGAUUAGCUAGUUGGCGGGGUAAAGGCCCACCAAGGCGACGAUCCGUAGCUGGUCUGAGAGGAAGAUCAGACACACUGGAACUGAGACACGGUCCAGACUCCUACGGGAGGCAGCAGUGGGGAAUAGUGGACAAUGGGCGCAAGCCUGAUCCAGCCAUACCGCGUGGGUGAAGAAGGCCUUCGGGUUGUAAAGCCCUUUUGUUGGGAAAGAAAUCCAGCUGGUUAAUACCCGGUUGGGAUGGCGGUACCCAAAGAAUAAGCACCGGCUAACUUCGUGCCAGCCGCCGCGGUAA